AAUAGAUACCCCGGUAGUCCACGCCGUAAACGAUGAGUGCUAAGUGUUGGGGGUUUCCGCCCCUCAGUGCUGCAGCUAACGCAUUAAGCACUCCGCCUGGGGAGUACGGUCGCAAGACUGAAACUCAAAGGAAUUGACGGGGGCCCGCACAAGCGGUGGAGCAUGUGGUUUAAUUCGAAGCAACGCGAAGAACCUUACCAGGUCUUGACAUCCCGGUGACCACUAUGGAGACAUAGUUUCCCCUUCGGGGGCAACGGUGACAGGUGGUGCAUGGUUGUCGUCAGCUCGUGUCGUGAGAUGUUGGGUUAAGUCCCGCAACGAGCGCAACCCUUAUUCUUAGUUGCCAUCACUCAGUUGGGCACUCUAAGGAGACUGCCGGUGAUAAACCGGAGGAAGGUGGGGAUGACGUCAAAUCAUCAUGCCCCUUAUGACCUGGGCUACACACGUGCUACAAUGGACGGUACAAACGGUUGCCAACCCGCGAGGGGAGCUAAUCCGAUAAAACCGUUCUCAGUUCGGAUUGUAGGCUGCAACUCGCCUACA
rnacentral:rRNA from 1 species